rnacentral:lncRNA from 1 species
GUGUUUAACAUAUAUUUAGUAUGAUGGUACAUGAAAAAAUAAAAUAUAUCAAUCUUAAAUGUUCUUUUAAAGAUAAAAGCUAUAAAUAGUCUUGUAUUAGGUAUCUAAAGAAUCUUUGAAGUCACCUAGCAUAAAAACUGAACUAUUGUGUUUAUGGUCAAUUUACUGGAAUCUAUAUUAGCAACACUUUACAAUGUGUUUAUUCUUUAGAGUUAGUCAAGAUUUAUUACUAUUAUUAUUUAUUAGUUUGUUAGAUGCAAAAAAUAAGUUCUCUACACGGUUGGAAGUAUACAAAUCUGGGUUACUCUGGCAAGCAAUAACAACAAUGUUCAAAUGCCAUGUCUCCUAGCUUUUAUGCUGUUUGGCUCUUUAGAAUCAACAGAUGGUCAUCUUCAAUACCAUUACGAUAUGACUAGUUAAUAAGCCUAACAGAAAUUUUAACUUGUCUUUUUAAAGAGAAGACAUUUAUAAUAAAGAUACUAAAAAGCCAAGGGCUUCAAAUUGCAUGCAACAUGUGCCUACAAAUGAGAAACUAAAUGUUAAUCUGAAGUUUUCUAAAUGUAUAAAGAAAAAGCAAUGUGCUAGCCAACACAAUCACUGAACAAUAAAUCAUCAUGAAACACAGGCAAAUUCCUCCUUGCAGGCUCAAAACCUACCGGUAUAAA